UACGUAGGGGGCGAGCGUUAUCCGGAAUUACUGGGCGUAAAGCGCACGCAGGCGGUUCGCCAAGUUUGGAGUGACAGUUGUCGGCUCAACCGACAAAGGACUUCAAAAACUGGUGAACUUGAGGACGAGAGAGGAACAUGGAACUCCAGGUGUAGUAGUGAAAUGCGUAGAUAUCUGGAAGAACGCCAAUGGCGAAGGCAAUGUUCUGGCUCGUUUCUGACGCUCAGGUGCGAAAGCCAGGGGAGCGAACGGG
rnacentral:rRNA from 1 species